CCCAAUCCUGCUCCCUCCACUUCCCCGAAGACGUCCGUCUUGAAGACGCUCCCAAUAAACUCCUGGCAGGCAAACCCAAAUCUCAGGCCGGCCUCCCCAGAACUGUUUGGUGAUGGUGCUUCUAAAUCCUGGAAGUCUGGGUAUGAGAGUGGAGGUGAAUUAGCGAUUGUGCGUGGCUUAUUUUACAGAUGAGGAAUGAAAGUUACCAUUUGGAUUAUUUUUUAAUUCAAUGCAUAUUGUCAUAAAGAUUUGCAUAUGAGCAACAGGACGACCUUAGCUACAGAAGACGUGAGGCUUUGGUGCUGUGGCUGGGAGUGGUGAGCUUCCCCCUUGGGCUCCUCACAUUCAGAAUGUGGGUGCUGGGGUUGAGUAUGGGUAGAAAUUCUCCCCUAUAUUUACAGCCAUCAUUUAUACAGACAGUGGUAUCAUUUGGGGCUAUACUGCCCAUAUAAAUAGCUAUUGAAAUUUAAGUUAAAAAAUUAUAUGUGUAGACAAGUUUAUCAGCCUUUAUAUUUUUACCAUUCUACUUCAAAUCAGUGUGGAAAAGGGAUUAUUUAUUAAAUAACAUUGAAACUUGUAAGUUGGGAUAUUGAAAAUAAAUAUGAAUUGGCAUACAUUAGGGUAAGAUAAUUAUCAUAAACAACCUCCAAAUCUCAGGAUGUAACACAACAAGCAGGAGAUAUGAGCAUGCUGGAUCCACAGAGUCACUCAGGGAUGGAGCCUGCUGGAGGCCCACCAAGUUAGGCCCCCAACAGCCCUGGAAGAACACAUCAAGCC
rnacentral:lncRNA from 10 species